GAAACAGAUAGAUGGUACUUUCCAGAUUCUUUGCAUGAUGAUGUGAUCAUGUCACAGAGGUAUGGCAAAUGGAAUGUGAACUAAAGUGACAAGUAUUACUUGCUGGUCUGUCCCAUGGAAAAUUCCCAUAAAUUAUGAAAAGACACUCUCCAUGAAGUCAUGAAGGUACAUUGAAGGAACAUUAACACUGUGGCAGUGUAAGCCAGAUGACAGUAUAAGUUCUCUGAUCAUGAAAUAUGCAUAUGAAUCCAGUACCUGCUCAGACCCAGUCUUCGUAUUCUUCCUUGAAGAUGGAAUCUUGUUGGUUGGUCAAUUGAUGGGUCAGCGAAAGACAUAUCAACCAUCAAUGGCAGCUUGGCUCCCAUGGUCAGAUGUUCUAUUUCUAUCAGGGCUCACUUGUUAAUCAAGAGCUAUUUCCUAAAAGGAGAAUAAAACCAUGGCGAGGUCCACUCUAA